AACGAACGCUGGCGGCAUGCCUAACACAUGCAAGUCGAACGAUGCCUUCGGGCAUAGUGGCGCACGGGUGCGUAACGCGUGGGAAUCUGCCUUUCGGUUCGGAAUAACUCAGGGAAACUUGAGCUAAUACCGGAUAACGUCGCAAGACCAAAGAUUUAUCACCGAAAGAUGAGCCCGCGUAGGAUUAGCUAGUUGGUGAGGUAAAGGCUCACCAAGGCGACGAUCCUUAGCUGGUCUGAGAGGAUGAUCAGCCACACUGGGACUGAGACACGGCCCAGACUCCUACGGAAGGCAGCAGUGGGGAAUAUUGGACAAUGGGCGAAAGCCUGAUCCAGCAAGGCCGCGUGAGUGAUGAAGGCCUUAGGGUUGUAAAGCUCUUUUACCCGGGAAGAUAAUGACGGUACCGGGAGAAUAAGCCCCGGCUAACUCCGUG
rnacentral:rRNA from 1 species